CUCCCAUGAAGCUGCCUGCUGACAAACCAGGGCACAGGAGUGCAACUUCACUCAGGGAAAAAUGAAAUUUACCUGCAUACUGCCUACUUUUUAAGUGGGAGUAAUAUUAAUUCACCUCUGCAAAGUGCUAUGAAUUCUUUAGAUGGAAGAAGUGCUGUGUAUGUUGAACCCUGAACUCAAUUUUGGCAGAUUGCUCCAGCAAGAAAAAAACAUCGAAUUUCAAGAGCAGACAGUGAGACCAUACACCCUACCCAAUUACCCCCAGGAAACAGAG
rnacentral:lncRNA from 1 species